rnacentral:rRNA from 1 species
AUUGAACGCUGGCGGCAGGCCUAACACAUGCAAGUCGAGCGGGGGGCGGACGGGUGAGUAAUGUAUGGGGAACUGCCUGAUGGAGGGGGAUAACUACUGGAAACGGUGGCUAAUACCGCAUACUAUCGGAAGAACCCAUAUGGGAUUAGCUAGUGGGUGGGGUAACGGCUCACCUAGGCGACGAUCUCGAGCUGGUCUGAGAGGAUGAUCAUCCACACUGGGACUGAGACACGGCCCAGACUCCUACGGGAUGCAGCAGUGGGGAAUAUUGCACAAUGGGCGCAAUCCUGAUGCAGCCAUGCCGCGUGUAUGAAGAAGGCCUUAGGGUUGUAAAGUACUUUCAGCGGGGAGGCGUUACCCGCAGAAGAAGCACCGGCUAACUCCGUGCCAGCAGCCGCGGUAAUAC